rnacentral:misc_RNA from 1 species
AUUUUCUCAUUCAAACAACACUACAUCCAUUGAUUCCGAGGGAAGAAAAUUUAAAAUAUGUAUAUAUAUAUAUAUUCUCUCAACAGAUUGUAUGUUGGCUCACGGAUUUUCGCCCCCUAAAGUCAAUUCCUGGUUCCACCAUUGAUAUCAGAUUCAUGGUCAGUUCCAUAUAAAAUCUUCUGCAUACCAAAAAUCAGUCAAGGGAUCUGAAGCUUGGCAGCCCAUUUCCUUCUAAAGCUCAGAUUU